CCUUGACACAGGGACCCUAAAAAGCAUCAAAUUUCUGUCUCCCUAUCUCUCUCUUUUCUUUCUCUCUCUUUUUCUUUCUCUCUCUUUGUCUCUUUUUCUUCCUACUUUCUCUGUCUCUCUCCUCUCUCCCUCCCCUCUCUCUGUCUCUCUUUUCUCUGUCUCUUUUUCUUCUCACUUUGUCUCUCUCUCUCCCUCCCUUCUCUCUGUCUCUCUCUCUCUCUUUUUUCUCUCUGUCUUUUUUUCUUUUCUCUUUUUCUCUCCUCUCUUUCUUUUUACCAACAGUCACUCAGGUCUUGUGGCUAUAGGUAUUUCCAAUUUUGGCAGGCAUUAUACUCGUGUUCUGCUCUUACUGGCACCAGUUUUAAGAGUGCCUCUACAACUAGAUCUUGUAGUGAAAGUAUAAUCAAAUUAACAGGUCUGUCUCUGGUACAGGCCAAGGGAACAGGUGGGAGGGGCCAAGGGUAAGGAUAGGAUUUUCCUAAGAAAACCCAAAAGGGCCGGUAGUAAGUUUUAAAAAGGUUUAAUGCCGCUCGGGCAUUGUCCUCUCUUAGAUAUAUUUUGGCAUUUAGAGGCCUAGGGAACAUUGGGAAAUGGCAGAAUGCAUGAAACAAGAGGUUUACUGGGUGUGAAUUUUGAAUCCACUGCGCCUUUAAGAGAGUGCAGAGGUUUUGCCAAUCGGUCUCUAUUAAAACGUGGCAGCCAACUUCCCAACGGUUGGGAUGGUGCUAACAUGCUGACCUGUGAAAUGUUUGCCGAUGGGGAGGACUCAAGAUGGCGCUGUGAGAACAACCCAAGAUUGAAGCUCUCGCUGGACGCACGGAGAGGCAACAUGGAUGAGCUUGGAAGAUAUUGUGUGGAAUAA
rnacentral:lncRNA from 13 species